rnacentral:SRP_RNA from 2 species
GCCAGGCAUGGUGGUGUGUGCCUGUAAUCCCAGUUACUUGGGAGGCUGAGGCAGGAUAAUUGCUUGAACCCAGGAGGUGGAGGUUGCAGUGAGCCAAGAUUGUGCCACUGCACUUCAGCCUGGGUGAUAGAGCAAGACUCUGUCUCAA